AUCGUCCCAGCCAAUUGAUCUGGUCAAAGCGGUGCCCAUCUCCACUAUCCAUGGAUUCCAGAAUUUUCUUUGCCCUUCCUUAUCUCUCCGCUUCGCUGCUCUCGAUAGGGCGGCGCCCUCUUCUCUCUCCCCGGCGGCUGACGGCGUGGAAGAGGAGCUCCUCUCCUUCUCGGGGCAGCUGGUGGCGCGCUGAAAGAUGGAAUAUAAGUGGAGAAGACUUGCCCAUCGUCGCCGGCGUGGAGCACGGCCGUGUCUCUUCAAUGAGGCCGUGGUCGCCGUUGGGAGUUCUCCACGCGGUGCCGCCAGCGAGCUCCCACUCAUGGACGGAGCCGUCCCUGUCACUGUGAAGUUCUGGUCCUGUGACUGCUGCUGCGCGGGGAGGAGCGGAAUGGCACUGACUUCCCCAACCCGGACACGGCGUCGUGGCGUCGCGCGCCGAAUUGGCCACUGCGCAACAUCAGGAGGAUUUUGGGGUGGCGGCGAUGCGUCAGUAUGGAGGCGGACCGCGAGCAGGGAGAUGCGAGGGUGGAGACGCCCGUGGCUACACGCAUCAGCGCAUAUCCGCCGACUGCAACGGGGUGUACUGGCGGGGACACAAUUACAGUGGAGUCACCUAUCCUCACUGUGUCAGGCGGGGAUAUGGGGUGAGAAUCACGUCGGUGUGCCACGCCCCUGCUGGCCGACCAACAGCGGCAGCCGACCCUGCUAGCACACGGAGACCACAUGGUUGAGGGUUGCAUAACAUGAUAUGUUGGAUGCUGGCUCCUGGAUCAUUUUGUUGCAUCACCGUCGGACAAAAAAACUCCGUUCGCGACUCUGUCUCCAGCUCACUGUCUCCCACAAAGAAGUCUGCAUCGCUGCCGAUGAACUGCUAUGUUGCUUCUUCUUGCAGCAGGGAAGCGUGCGUCCUCUAAAUUCUUCUCUAUAAUAUUUGCACAGAGGAUUGUAGAUGUUGUCUAUCUUUUUAAAAAUUAAAUUGAGGUAAAUUUAUCCCCUUCCUAAGAUACUAUUAUGUACUUACUUUUCUACUCCAUACCAAUUUAUGUACAUAUAUAUUUCAAUCGUGGAGCACUAUUUUCCUAGAUAACUGAAUGCUCAGUUAUGGCCAUUGUCAAUAUGAACAAAAUUGAUAUGUACUGGCCAUUGACAAUAUGAAAAAAUUUAUAUGUAUUUUCAUGUAUUUGUUCAUGUGUGGUCUAGGAAAAGAAAUGACAUGGAGAUGCAUAUGUACACCCCUGUAUGCAAGUUAUUUAGACAGUCAGAUAUGCUAACUGAGAUUUCUUAUAUUUUAGGUAAUAUCCUAGCUUUCGAAAGUUUGGUAGUUCCACUUUCACUUGCACCACUGUCAACCAUUUUCACCUCCCGUGUUCUACCUUGGCCCUCGCCACCGAGCUUUAUUGUAUAUGCUACAUGCAUUUUAUUCUAUGGCUUGCUAGCUUAUUUUCUUUUUCUUUGUAUUCUGUCUUCUCCAGCUGCAUGUCUUUUGCAUGUGCUCAGCAUAGGAACUGAACAGUCGCAAAUAAAAGCAGUAACAUCUCAUGCUAAAUUGUGUAUAAGCUUCUAAGAUGUGUACAAAGUCUAAGUAUUUUAGUACACAGGAAAAAGAUUGACAUGAAAUCUAAACAAGUAGCAGAUAUUAAUACAAGUUCCAUAGGUAAUGUACUUUAAAGGUAAUGUACUUUAAUAAAAUCAUGCAUAUUAAGUAUCUCAAAUUGCCUGCUGAUGUAUAUCUCCAACAGUUUUUGAUAGUCAUCUCAAACUAAAGAAAGAAUUAGAAGUAGUUCAGUUUACAUUAGAAAUCGAGUCCAUCUACCUGAAGGUGUCAGCAGGCAACGAUUCCAUGCUCUGCUGCUCUGGUCGAUGGACCAGAUGAGCUUGCAACCGACCGGGGUAUCUAAUGUAGAGCCUUCUAAGGCUGUGAAGAUGGCAGUGGCCAGCUAAGUCCAAUUCCAUGUCAGCAUUUUUCCUACCAUAUUGCAGUUCACUGCGAUUUGUUCAAACUGAAGGAGAAGAGGGAAGCGGUGGAUGUGCCAACAUAUGCUUUCAGACAUUAUUCAGAUGCACCCGGGUGGUUCUUCGUUCACCUCUGAUCCUUUUGUUAAUUCCUUUGUUGGGUGGUUCCUUGAUGCUCUAUCGGCGUCAUUUUCUGGGGCGAGUUCCUCUAAUCCUGGCCUUUACAUGGACUCUUUUGAUGAUGAAUCUCCUGCUGGGUUGCUGUGUUCACCUGCUGAUUCGCUCACUGCUUCGUCGUCUUCUGCUGGUCAUCCUAUCUAUGGUUGUGAUUUUGGGGCUGGAUCAUUUCCGUCCCUGCCUACUGAUAACAUGCCUGUUGCGCCGGCAUUGUCAUCAGGUACGGGAUCUCGCACUUCACAUCCAGGAAAUUUGAAGUAGUACCAAUGCAGGCAACCUUUAUCAGAGAUAUCAAACCUCGAGGAUCUAUGAGGCGUUCUGUUGUGCAUCGCACGGAUGUGGGAGAACAGAAACAAGGAGCUGGAGCUCUAUGAGAUAUAGGCUUCAUGUUCGUUAAUCAUCUGGGCACCACAAUAGAAGGUUCUAUACUCGCAGACUGGUUUUGACCAAUUUAAAGACGAACUAAAGGAAGACAUAGUUUACAAGCUGGAGUUGUUUAUGAUCGUUGCCCCCAGGAACAACUAUAGAGCAACAGAUCACUGUUAUAGGAUUCAAAUUUGACAGAACACAAAAGUAAUGGAGAUCGUGCCUGAGACUGAGAACUCCCCCCUAGAUGCAUAUGACGCGAAGUCCUUUGAUGAUCUCCGACCAUGCAUGGAUGACACACUGCUCCUAUCAGGUUUCUACUUAGAAGCAAGGCAUACCAGUCGAUGCUGACGAAGCAGAGGACAUGGGUAAGGCAAUCAAAGACAAGAAGAGGAAGAACAAGAAUGACAAGAAAGGACCUGCCAAGGCAUUAUUCAAAGGGAAGCAAUAACAUUAGCCUUGAACCAUCCACUGAUUCUACAUCUUAUUGUGAUUACAGGCUGUCAUCGCAAGACGAGGCUAACACAAACACAGCGUCAAGGAAAUCAAGCAAGUAAACUAACCACCCAGCUGAAAAUAAAUCUUCUCAUCAACCUGCCAGCUUAUGUUAUUUUACCUAAUAGUAUCCUAGGUGAAUAUUCUUGCAGUCUCCUAAGAUUGCAUACCCGAAACUCAAUGUGAGUGUUUGCUCACCAAAUCUCCGUUUUAAUUUCUAUGUACAUUUAUCCAAUAUGCAGACCUUUAUCCACUGCUAUGUAUCUUAAGAUUUAAUGAAGCACCACCAUUCUAGCUAUGCUACCGCUUUAUCAUUUAUUAUUA